AUGAGGCUGAUCUGGCUGCUGCACCUGUGAUCCCAUCCAUUGUCACAGCUGAGCUGGCUGAUCUGAAGGGCUUAGCUGGUGUCCCUUUCAUCUGGUCCUAACUGAGCUGUGGGCAGCCCCCCAGAGGCAUGUCCUUGGUCAGAGAUGAUGCCCUUCCCAGAGAAGAGGAGCUUUGGUCAAAGGCAUAUAG
rnacentral:snRNA from 1 species